CUAUGAGCACGGAGAGGUAGGCGGGCAGGGUCCACUCUGAGGAGCACAGCAACGCGGGACGAGUCGGUCAAGCACGUGCAAAAGUGGAUCGUAGCAUUUCCCGUGCGCAUUGUUGCACCUCAAAGCAGCACAGCAGGAGGCUGUUGACGGAAAUCCAGGAGCCCAUGGCGAACAGCGCCACGAGCCCGUGGGUCACCGCUGCACUGCUCCACCAGCCGCCGGACAUGGUGCCGCGUUCCCCGUCCCGCUGUGUUCGAACCCGACAAUGCGUUGUCCUCAAAGUGUGGACCGCAUAACCUGCGGUGUGUGUGUGUGUGUGUGCGUUAGACCCUGCUUCAGCCGCCUUCACAGACAUCAUGUAAAUUACACUGCCGGCCAGUCAGCAAAGUCAAAUAAAUAACAAUGUAAACGGUUUCAUUUGCUUAUUAAUAAUAACUCAAUAUCCAAGAAGAUUACUACUUGUUCUUUCGUAGACUUUAUCCAUUUGCUGUUAACUUAUUACA